CAAGAACAUCAAGUGAUAAGAUUUUCCAGUACUUCUUAUCAUCAAAUUUCUUCUUCUAUGUACCAAUUUCUCGGAUUUCAUUUUCCUGAACCACUCAAAUUAUGAAAUCAAAAGGUUUUUCAUCAUACUUUGCAUCAAGACAAUAAAUUUACACAUUUCAUGUGGGCACUGUACGAGCAACUUUGAUCAAAAGAUAACAAAAUGCACCAGAUUCUUCUCUGGAUGAUUUCCAACAACUACAAUCACAAUUUCUCCAAAAAUAUCUUGCUAGACCCAAAGCACAAGACACCUUCAGCUAAUCAUACAAUUCACGGCAGCUAUACUUUCUAUUUAAUAAUAAAAUAGUAGAAUCUAUAUUUGAAUAUUCACUCUAUCAUUGAAAAUAAUUUCAAACGAAAUUUGAGUGGCAAUAAUUUUUACAAAUUAAAAUUUUUUAUAUUAUCUUAUAAUUUUUUAUACUUAAAAAAGUAUUAUCAUAUUGGCGCUAUUAUAAAUGUCUAAUAUUAAUUCAAAAAUAUCA